AGCAUUGAUUCGAUCUGUAUUAGAUUAUGGAUGCUUUGUUUAUGGUUCUGCUGCUAAAACACACUUACAAAAACUGGAGACAGUCCAAUCCAAGGCUUUAAGAUUAUGUUGUGGAGCAUUUAAAACAUCCCCAGUUGCAGCAAUACAGGUGGAAAUGGGAGAAUUACCUUUGAAAUUAAGAAGACGGCAACUGCUGAUGAAUUACUGGGCGUAUCUUCAAGGUCACACUCUGGACAGACAUCCAACAACUAAGGUAAUCCUUCCUUGUUGGGAGAGUGAAAGAGACAGAACAAAGUGUUUAAUAUGGAGCAGUGCACACAUUGCUGAUGAAAUGGGAUUAACUAACCUCCGUUUUGUUCCUACAGUUCCAUUAUCAGUUACUCCACCAUGGCUUUUUCCUGCAGUCUCCAUUGACUUAUACUUCUUGGAAAACAGGAAUAAACAGUGUGAGGAGAUG